UUAUCUUAGAUAUUCUUAUGCUAUGAAGUAAGCUUAUAUAAGUAUUGUGAUAAUUCUACCAGAAUUCACUUGACUGUCCAGAGCCCAUCUAAUCAAUCAUGUGUUUCAUGAGCCAGAUAGUCUCUAGGUAAGACACUCUAUGGGUGUGUCAUAAACUACAAUUACUGAAACAGGUAAUUCAGUUUUUAAAGAAAUUAACCUGAUAUGUAAAAGCCUUAGCAAAAUAGGACAGAAAAAGAAGUCAUCUCCAAUCAGUCUAAGAAACAACUCAGCCCAAGAGCUUCUUACAGACCUUGUAUUCCAGUAAAUAAGAAACACAAAAUACCACGGAAGUUCGCCCUUUACAUCAAAGAGAGAAAAACAGGCCUUCCCUGAAUGAUUGAGAACAAAUUCAACAAAGAAAUGGGCUCCUUGGAAAACUGACUAAUUCUAGAGUUGGGGCAGGAAAAGUACAAGUUGACCCUGGCCAUCAUGUAAUGACAGAAAAUGAAAAAGUGCUAAAAAAUUAAAAACACAACUAUGGAUACAUGUCAAAAGGAUAUAAGGUGAGCUGAAAGAGUUCCCUGUGGCCAAAGCCAUAACAAUUUGAGCAAAAAAAAAAAAAAAAAUGAAUAAAUUUGUACUGGAUUAUAACCCAAAGUAUAAAAUAAAAAGACAUGAGUUAA